AAAUUGAAGAGUUUGAUCAUGGCUCAGAUUGAACGCUGGCGGCAGGCCUAACACAUGCAAGUCGAACGGUAACAGAAAGCAGCUUGCUGCUUUGCUGACGAGUGGCGGACGGGUGAGUAAUGUCUGGGAAACUGCCUGAUGGAGGGGGAUAACUACUGGAAACGGUAGCUAAUACCGCAUAAUGUCGCAAGACCAAAGAGGGGGACCUUCGGGCCUCUUGCCAUCGGA
rnacentral:rRNA from 1 species